UAGGUAGGGUGCAAGCGUUAAUCGGAAUUACUGGGCGUAAAGCGUGCGCAGGCGGUUCGGAAAGAAAGAUGUGAAAUCCCAGGGCUUAACCUUGGAACUGCAUUUUUAACUGUCGAACUAGAGUGCGUCAGAGGGGGGUGGAAUUCCGCGUGUAGCAGUGAAAUGCGUAGAUAUGCGGAGGAACACCGAUGGCGAAGGCAGCCCCCUGGGAUGACACUGACGCUCAUGCACGAAAGCGUGGGGAGCAAACAGG
rnacentral:rRNA from 1 species